CAGGGAAUGCCACGUGGCAGAGAUAUGCUGACGGCUUGGCUUUGCCGUAGGCAUAGCCCUGCCACAUGGCGCGCCCUUGGUGUCACGACAGCCAUCUAUGCCUACAGCAUUGCCGUCGGCAUAGUUGCUGACCAGAACCAAAAAAAAGAUUAGCCAACAAGGCUAGCUAUUUACAAAUGCUUAUACAAACAUGAUUCAACAACCAUGGAUUUGCAAACACAGACCCUAGUGUAUUUUUUAUGUACAUAACAUUUCCAUUCUAAGAAUCCACAACAACAUUAUAGGAGGCUGAGGGGCGGCGGUGGGGGAGACAAGGCUGCAACGAUGGAGGUGGCAUACAGUCAGUACAACAAACAGAAGAUCCUACAUAUGAGGAUGAAUAUGUAAUCUAUACAUUAAAUUUACCAAAAGAAAAUCACCUAGAACUAAAAAGGCAGAAAAUUAUUGCUUUUGUUAUAGAUAACUUGUCAUGUUGGUGCUUGAACCGAACAAUACUAAUAAUACAUACAGUACAGAGAUGCUCCAGUUUCGGUUGUAUCUAUCAAGCAUCAGUUCUUGUUCAAGGCAAGCUUCAAAGAGAAAAAGAGUGGUGCUGAUUCAUAUGUAUAUAUGUAUAUACAGAAGAUGCAAGUGUCAUCAAGUUCGCUUUAGUCAAAGUAAAAACAAAUGGACACAUACAAAACUGAACCAAGGGUGGUGCUGAUUCAUGUGUAUGUACAGAUUGAGGUGCCAGCCAGUUGGUUUCACUCAAAGUUCAACCAAAAAAAAUUGACACAUACAAAUUGAAGAAAAGUGUGGUCCUGAUUCAUAUGUUAGUAUGUACAGGAGAUGCAAGUGCCACCAAGAUAGAUAGUUUCAGUCAAAAGUAAAAAACAAUUGGAUACAUACAAACUGAAGCAAACCGUCGUGCUUUUUCAUGUGUACAUACAAAAGAUGCAAGUGGUAUCCAGAAUUUGGAUAUAGGUAGUACGCUCAUGUGGUGAAUUUUGUGAAUCUAUACUCUGCAUCUACCAAAAGGAUCACCCCCCUCACAUGCAAAUAUAAUUCAGUCCAAUGGCUUUCUUCUCCCCUCACAUGCAUAAGACGAGAGCAGACCAUCUAAACAGGCGGACCAGACCUUCACCUUGGGAGAGAGGCGAGUGCUACCUGUUGCCAUGUCGUCGUCGAGCUCGGGUGGUCCUCCUCCUCCUCGAGCAGGACAAGGUUGUUUCUCCCCUACACUCCAAUGGCCAUCUUCUCCAAGGACAUCUACAAGGGCAGAACACACCAUUGAUGCAAGUGUCACCAAGAUAGUUUCAGUCAAAGUUAAAGCAAAUGUAAAUAUGCAAACUGAACCAAACCGAGGUGCAUGUUCAUAUGUGUGUGUAUGUAGAGAUGCAAGUGCAAUCUGAAUUUUGGGGAACCAAAGCAUGGUUGUUGUCGUUGUUGUUGCUACUUUAGCAGCAACAACAUCCUUGAAAUCAAACGAGGGGCAAGUUGUUUUAGCAGCAGCGCAUACUAGUAAUUAGCUAGGACCAUUAUUAUUGAACAACCAUUCGAGGACGGUGGCAGACACAUAAAUCUCACAAGGCUCUACUGGAGAAACAAAAGCAUAGGAUAUGUGAUGCUGGCAAUCUUAGCACAAGAAGAAAAAAACACAGCCUCUCCGAUAGAAUGGAUGGAUGCAUCAUGCACAAUCAUCGGUUCCAUCAUUGCAGCACUAGUUGAGCAACAAAUCAAAUAUAACAGUAGUUCCAUUCGUUCAGCCAACAAGUUAACAAAAGUUUACUUCCCACUACUAAUUUUGCAACUUGUCAUAAUAAAGAAAACAGAGCUCGAAAUCACAGCAACAAAAGCGGUAGACUGGGAGCCUAGAACCAUGCAAACCAAAUCGCAGAGCAGAAAAAUAACAGUACUACCUGGAGCAAUAAGAAACUCAACGGACUAGGGCAACAUUUGGAAGGAGACAAGCAAGUACUACAACAGCUAGCUGGGCUGAAUUGAAGAUUAACCAAAAUCAUAUCAAGUAUUUGUUGAGCAUGAUUAUACACGGGAAGGGGAAGGGGUUCACGGCAGGGACCUUUAGGUCAUGACCUGGCUUGCAUCUCUCCUCCUCAUGUGCAUUGGUUUGCAUCCAAUCCUUGCAGUCCAAUCCAUGGAAGUCCCUCCCUCCCUGCAUCUCUAGAACAACACGAC
rnacentral:lncRNA from 1 species